rnacentral:SRP_RNA from 1 species
UCGUGCUAGGCGGGGAGUUAGCGGUGCCUUGAACUCGCAAUCCGCUCAGCGAGGCUGAAUUCCUGCUAAAAGGUUAUAUCUUGAGACCUCUAUUAUUUGAAUUUGGUGUUGAGAUCUGGGUCCUACGCGGCGGAAACCUGCGAACCCCGUCAGAUCUGAAAAGAAGCAGCGGUAAGUAGUCAUUUCCGGGUGCCGUAGGAUAGCCCCGAUCGAGUCAAAUCCAUCUAAUAAGUUNAAGGUGAGAUCGAUUAGCAGGUGCACGA